UGUGAGUCAUCGAAUCUUUGAACGCAUCUUGCGCUCUCUGGUAUUCCGGAGAGCAUGUCUGUUUGAGUGUCAUGAAUUCUUCAACCCAAUCUUUUCUUGUAAUCGAUUGGUGUUUGGAUUUUGAGCGCUGCUGGCUUCGGCCUAGCUCGUUCGUAAUACAUUAGCAUCCCUAAUACAAGUUUGGAUUGACUUGGCGUAAUAGACUAUUCGCUAAGGAUUCGGUGGAAACAUCGAGCCAACUUCAUUAAGGAAGCUUCUAAUUGAAAAGUCUACCUUUAGAUUAGAUCUCAAAUCAGGCAGGAUUACCCGCUGAACUUAA
rnacentral:rRNA from 1 species